GAUGAACGCUAGCGGCAGGCCUAAUACAUGCAAGUCGGACGGGAUCGGGGAGCUUGCUCCCCGUGAGAGUGGCGCACGGGUGCGUAACACGUAUGUAACCUACCUUUAUCAGGGGGAUAGCCUCUCGAAAGAGAGAUUAACACCGCAUAACAUCACAUGAUAGCAUUAUCGAGUGAUCAAAUAUUCAUAGGAUAAAGAUGGGCAUGCGGGACAUUAGCUAGUUGGCGGGGUAACGGCCCACCAAGGCGACGAUGUCUAGGGGAUCUGAGAGGAUGACCCCCCACACUGGUACUGAGACACGGACCAGACUCCUACGGGAGGCAGCAGUAAGGAAUAUUGGUCAAUGGACGCAAGUCUGAACCAGCCAUGCCGCGUGCAGGAGGACGGCCCUACGGGUUGUAAACUGCUUUUGUACCGGAAUAAACCCUUUUACGUGUAAGAGGCUGAAUGUACGGUAAGAAUAAGGAUCGGCUAACUCCGUGCCAGCCGCCCGCAGUAACAC
rnacentral:rRNA from 1 species